AUUGAACGCUGGCGGCAGGCCUAACACAUGCAAGUCGAGCGGAGCGGCGGACGGGUGAGUAAUGCCUAGGAAUCAGCCUGGUAGUGGGGGGUAACGUCCGGAAACGGGCGCUAACACCUCAUACUAGCAGACGAGCCUAGGUCGGAUUAGCUAGUUGGUGGGGUAAAGGCCUACAAGGGCGACGAUCCGCAACUGUGCUGAGGGGAGAAUCAGUCACACUGGAACUGAGACACGGUCCGGACUCCUACGGGAGGCAGCAGGGGGGAAUAUUGGAAAAUGGGCGAAGGCCUGAUGCAGACAUGCCGCGUGUGUGAAGAAGGUCUUCGGAUUGUAAAGCACUUUAAGUUGGGAGGCGUUACCAACAGAAUAAGCACCGGCUAACUUCGUGCCAGCAGCCGCGGUAAUUC
rnacentral:rRNA from 1 species